rnacentral:misc_RNA from 1 species
GAUGAAGAACGCAGUGAAAUGCGAUAAGUAAUGUGAAUUGCAGAAUUCAGUGAAUCAUCGAAUCUUUGAACGCACAUUGCGCCCGCCAGUAUUCUGGCGGGCAUGCUUGUUCGAGCGUCAUUACAACCCUCAGGCCCCCGGGCCUGGCGUUGGGGAUCGGCGGAGCCCCCCGUGGGCACACGCCGUCCCCCAAAUACAGUGGCGGUCCCGCCGCAGCUUCCAUCGCGUAGUAGCUAACACCUCGCGACUGGAGAGCGGCGCGGCCACGCCGUAAAACACCCAACUCUUCUGAAGUUGACCUCGAAUCAGGUAGGAAUACCCGCUGAACUUAAGCAUAUCAAUAAGCGGAGGA